CAGCAGCCGCGGUAAAACGGAGGGUGCAAGCGUUAAUCGGAAUUACUGGGCGUAAAGCGUGCGUAGGCGGUUCGUUAAGUCUGUUGUGAAUGCCCCGGGCUCAACUUGGGAAUGGCAAUGGAUACUGGCAAGCUAGAGUGUGUCAGAGGAUGGUGGAAUUCCCGGUGUAGCGGUGAAAUGCGUAGAGAUCGGGAGGAACAUCAGUGGCGAAGGCGGCCAUCUGGGACAACACUGACGCUGAGGCACGAAAGCGUGGGGAGCAAACAGGAUUAGAUACCCGCGUAGUCCCUGUCUCUUAUAC
rnacentral:rRNA from 1 species